AUUGAACGCUGGCGGCAGGCCUAACACAUGCAAGUCGAACGAGAGGCGGACGGGUGAGUAAUGUCUGGGAAACUGCCUGAUGGAGGGGGAUAACUAAUGGAAACGGUAGCUAAUACCGCAUACCUUCGGUUGAGCCCAGAUGGGAUUAGCUAGUAGUUGGGGUAACGGCUCACCUAGGCGAGGAUCCAUGGCUGGUCUGAGAGGAUGAACAGGCACACUGGAACUGAGACACGGUCCAGACUCCUACGUGAGGCAGCAUUGGGGAAUAUUGGACAAUGGGCGAAAGCCUGAUCCAGCCAUGCCGCGUGUGUGAAGAAGGUCUUCGGAUUGUAAAGCACUUUAAGUUGGGAGGCGUUACCAACAGAAUAAGCACCGGCUAACUUCGUGCCAGCAGCCGCGGUAAUAC
rnacentral:rRNA from 1 species